UUAUGUGACAGUUCAUCAAGUUUAUGAACCAGUUUAUCAAGUUUUGCUAACAGCUAGCGGUCACUGAAUGAAGUCCUACCAGCUUCAUUUUAGUGGCAACGGCUGCAACAGUUUAUCAGGUUUGGUGACAAGACUGCUGCAAUCCAGACAUGAGGAUUAAUCAUUUUUGCUGGGUUUUUUUCUUACCAAGAAAGAAUGGGAGAUGGAGAACAGAAAGACAAUGCUUGCGCCUGAAGUCUAAAUGCAGAGCACCAGGAAGAAUGCAUCUAGGAUUUGCUGGAAAAUACUUGAAUCUGGAGAAACUAUCACUGCUUCUGGCAGAUGCUUGUGAAUCUCAACAGUGACAUUUCUCUGUUGCUCUCCUGUAUGCUGAAGAAAUGGCUGAACUCCGAAGAGUACCCACAACAAGCUUUGGUUCUUUGCUUGUUUAUUCUUGUAAAUGAAAUGUGUGUGAGGCCACAUUUCUCUCUGUGAUACCAUCUGGCAUGGAAUGAUCAAUUUCUAUGUGAAUAAAUUAUCUUGGACUCCAAAUGGGGGCA
rnacentral:lncRNA from 1 species